rnacentral:rRNA from 1 species
GAUGAACGCUGACAGAAUGCUUAACACAUGCAAGUCUACUUGAAGUUGGGUUUUUUAACUUAGAUUUGGGUGGCGGACGGGUGAGUAACGCGUAAAGAACUUGCCUCACAGCUAGGGACAACAUUUGGAAACGAAUGCUAAUACCUGAUAUUAUGAUUAUAAGGCAUCUUAGAAUUAUGAAAGCUAUAUGCGCUGUGAGAGAGCUUUGCGUCCCAUUAGCUAGUUGGAGAGGUAACGGCUCACCAAGGCGAUGAUGGGUAGCCGGCCUGAGAGGGUGAACGGCCACAAGGGGACUGAGACACGGCCAUUACUCAUACGGGAGGCAGCAGUGGGGAAUAUUGGACAAUGGACCAAGAGUCUGAUCCAGCAAUUCUGUGUGCACGAUGACGUUUUUCGGAAUGUAAAGUGCUUUCAGUUGGGAAGAAAAAAAUGACGGUACCAACAGAAGAAGUGACGGCUAAAUACGUG